GGAUUCCCUGCCAAGCAGGGAGCCCAAUGCUGGGCUCAAUCCCAGGACCCCAAGAUCACAUGAUCUGAGCCGAAGGCAGACACUUAAACAGACUGAGCCACCCAGGUGCCCCGAGCACCUCAGUUUUAACACGAACUGGAAGACUUUUGAGGAAAAUUUCUUAUAUUAAAAAAAAGUAAUAAAACAACAGAAAAAAGGAAACUCAGGAGAAUCAAAGCCUAUGCCAGGAGCAGAAGAAACUGGGACGUCCAGGUCGGGUGGAGGCUGGUGGCACAGGUUGUGAAAGAAUUCACCCAAGGCAGAACAAUGGAGAUAGAAGUUUAUGGAAUACACUGCAGGGAAGCAGUGGUCAGAACAGCAGAGCAGAGACUGUGAUAGGGUGGUGGUGAGGGGCUAUAGUUACAGGGCCGAGUGAGGAAGUAUGGAAGUAUGGAAUUUCCUCCUUUUGUUGGUCAUCUUAGGAAUUGUACUUGGUUGUAAGUAGCUGAUUGGUCAGUUAGGGUCUAUGGCUGUUUUGAGAGGAGUUGUUUAAUGAGCCUAUUUGCAUUCAAUUUGGGGGUCAUCAUGGGCCCUAUUACCUUGAUCAAGUUUCCAUUGCUCAAGCCUGUUGCCUGAAAGCAGCCUCUACAAAAAUCUCAAACUAUUAAUAUCCUCCCAAAGGAAUCUUUCAGAACAUGUAUGCUACCAAAGAUGAGGAAUAAACCAAGAAAGAGGAAGAUGUGAAUAAGAAUACAAGAAUUCCAGCAAAGGAAAGAGGCAAAUUGAAUGUCUAGAGUCAUGGUCAAAAAAAUACGAGGCUGACAAAAAUCUAGCAGUUCUAGAGAUCAACCACUCCAGGUAGAAACAGAAGGAUGGAAGGAUCUAGGAGAGAUGUCUCCAUUAAAAGCAAAAGCAAAAGCAAAAGCAAAAACAAAACCUACAAGAAAACUUGAGGUGCUUGACAAUGUUGCUGACAAGCUUCUCCAUGGAGAUAGGAAGAUGUAAGCUGGGCUGCAAAAGCUGUCAUCCUUACUCAAUGACAAGGAACACCGGGCUGACACUAGCUGAGGGAGAAAGCAGGCACUCACUGGAGUCUGUAAAGAUCUAUCGAGAAAUAAACAAGGGAUGACACUUGGUGCACUCUUACAGCAGAGACUCAAGUUUUUGAAUGAUCCAAAUAAAAGAUAUCCUUCCAAAAAGAAAGCAAGUUUUAAAGGAGCACGAAUUCUACACAUUGUUGAUAAAAAAUCAAAUUCUCCACUUAAUUGCAUGACUUUCCAAUUUGAUUUUCUGGUAGAAACAAAGCUUUAGAAUAGCAGUGGACAGUCUGUGGACAGGGGACUGUUUAGCUUUGGGAAGAAGCAAGAAAUGUUCUUCGUGUUGCUAUUUCUUAA